rnacentral:rRNA from 1 species
UACGUAGGGUGCGAGCGUUGUCCGGAAUUAUUGGGCGUAAAGGGCUCGUAGGCGGUUUGUCGCGUCGGGAGUGAAAACACCGGGCUUAACUCGGUGCUUGCUUUCGAUACGGGCAGACUAGAGGUAUGCAGGGGAGAACGGAAUUCCUGGUGUAGCGGUGAAAUGCGCAGAUAUCAGGAGAACACCGGUGGCGAAGGCGGUCUCCUCG